AUUUUUGUAAUUAAAUGAACACAUACAUUCCUUGAGACAGAAACUUGAAAGUAAGACGACGGUUCUGGCGUAACAAACGAAUUCCUACAGAUGAGAAUGUUCACAACAACCAUUCCCCCAGUUUAUGAAUCUUCCACAAAUACACACCGUUGGACUGAGCUUCUGGACAUACUCCGUGAAACCAAUGUAUCUAAUUCAGCUUUCUAUCCACUCGAUGAGGAAUCUUUUCAUCUCGCUGAUGAAUCUUUCUAACUCCUUGAGGAAUCAUUCCCAUUCAUUGAUGAUUCUGGGAUGAGAAUGAUUUUCAUUGUCUGUACACUGCUUUUCGGUUUUGGAAUAGUUGGAAACCUAAUAACCGUGCUACUAAUUGUCGUCACACAACAUCUCCACUCUCCAACCUACGUCACGAUCGCCUGUCUAGCUAUAUCCGACUGCUUGGCCUCCUCCACGCGUUAUGCUAUGUUCCUGAUUUCUUUGUUUUAUUCUAAUUUCCAGGUUUAUUCAAUACAUGUAUUCGGGAUC